GUGUAGCUGGGGCCACGCAGUCGCGGGCGUUCCUGUCACGCAACUUCGGCGCGGCUGCUCUUUCUUCCAGCUUGGGGCCGUCAUUAUGUUUUCCUUCCUUAAAACAUCCCUAUGCACACUUUGUCAUCAUGUUUUUCUCUGCUGAACCAAACUUUAAUUGUUGAUCAGCAAAUGCUUCUAGAAAACCCAGGCAAAACCGCAGCGGCACAGCGAGCGAGGCACCCCCGCCUGCCAGCGGAUCCUGCAGCCCGGCCCAGAGCCGCCCGCCGCGGGACCGGCGCCUUCCCUCUGCCGGAGCGGACAAAGACGCCGGAGGGCGGGGGCUCAGGCAGCCCGCGGGGCGCCUCCCUCCCGCAGCUGCAGAACAAAGACGCAUCCGCCCUCCGCAGCCGGCCCCAUUCUAGGAAACGUCUAUACAGAUGGCUUAUCAGGGCAGGCGCUGGGAAUACCCGGGGCGGGGUGACCUGGGUCUAGAGCAAGGCCCUCAGGCCCGCCGCUGGCGGCAGCGCCGCUAAGGAUCUGCCUUAAAGGGAAACACUUUUUUUUCUUUUUUUUUUUUCCUAGAAAUGCUCACCAAGGGCUGCAGGAGGGCCGGGAUCUGCGGGCUCACGACCCGGUGCAGCCUGGAUGCUCUGUUUUCCUCUUGUGCACGUGUUGAGUUUGUGUUUAAAAACAGGGAGAAACCGAGCCCAUUUACAUAGCACCAUCACCACCUGCAAAGACCAGAAACGACUGCGGUGAAGUGCUGGACCCCACAAGGACACCGAACACCAAACACCCCGUUUUGCUGCUUUUCAAGACGGUGUGCCAAUUAAGUACCCAUGAAAACUGCUUUUCUGCUUCUUUUAAGGUUCUGCUGGGAGGGUAGCCUCUGAGUGCCCUGUAUCCCUGCUGGGACCCUUAGGCGUCCUGGCUCUAGGCAAACACAAAGAUACUGUACCGAGCACGGGAAGCGGUAGAUGGACCUCCAAGUGGACACAGACUCCGGGGAUGAGGGAGGGCCAACCCGACCAUGCUUCCCUCGGAAGGGGAGCCAGUAAUACUGGCCGGAGACAGGGGUGCAGAAUGUCAGCUAUACCAACUCACGGGCAUCCUGUUCAGGACAAAAGCCCAGAGGCAGGCCUAAGUCAAGGCUUGUGGGUACCGACAAUAGUAUUUCGACGUGAUCUGACAAAAUUGGAAAGGAAAUAUUUCAUGGGACAUUCAUGAGUUCCCCAAAUUUGAAGGCAACAAAACUGUUCUGUUGAACUUGGGGGAAAAAUCGUUCAGAUUUCAACCAUGGAAUUCAUUGCUACAACAAUAAAUAUGUUUGCCUUUGUUUUUCUCCUGUUAAAAUACAGGUAUACCAAAGUCUCUGGUGAUCACAGAACACUACUUCAUGUGCCUAUGUAAUGAAAUCAUCCAAAACCACUAAAUCUAGAGUAGGUAUAAUAUCAAGACGCAUUGUAACCUAAAUCCAAAUUAUCCUCACCAAAUACCAGAAAAGAAAGUGAACUUGAUAAAGGCUCUUGCCUAGAUGAUGGAAUGGGAAAGGACUGAAGAGCAGAUAAAGAGCUUGGUAGACCUCUGAGUAUCUCACAUUUUCUCUGACUCAAGCACAAUCAGUUUGAGACUGAAUUCCAUGGUGACUGCUACUUCUAUGAGUACCAGAUUAGCUGAUGCGUGGUCAGUGCAAUUCCACAAGUGAUUAUCGAGCACCUACUAACAUCUGUCACUGUGGUGGUCAUUUGUGACACGAAGUGAUUACAAUAUCUUAAGAAGUUCACAGUCUUAUGGAAGAGAAGGCCAGUGAACAGACAAAGCUGAUGCCAUUUUUAUGUAAAGUGAAAGAAAUGUGUAAGAGAUGAAUGAGAAGCCAAUACUAAUUGGCGAAGUCAAGGAGGAGAUGGUCUUUGCUCUGAACCCCUGAGGGUAAGAAGAUGAGGGAAUAAGUUUCCUGGACAGACAAGAGGCGGCGGGAGUCCCAGGCUCAGGAGUAACAGGGCACACACAGUCAGGGGCCUGUGACAAGAUUUACCAUCUCUUCCGGGCUACACAGGUAUCUUUGUGGGUAAGGCUGAUGUGCUGUCUGCAUAUGGGAAGAUGCCACAUUCUCGGGGCACCCCACAGGAGUGUCUUAAGAGUGACAUCCAAGAGCUUCUAAUUAGUCAAGUACCACAAAUGUCUGUUCGUCUCCAAACAACCCUACAGGCUGCUGGAAGUUUCAAGUUUCUAAAACUCUCUUUUAUUCUCAUAAUAUAUUUUCAAUAAAAUGCUAAAUUGCACUUCAA